AGGCUCAAAGGAUUCAAAUACUUGCCCAAGGUCCCAGGUUCGUUUGAUUGACAGAGCAUGAGUACCCUCCUAAAUGCCCCUUGAGGUCUCUAUAUUUAGGAGGAAGCAGCUUCAGAACUCUAGCUCCCCACCCCAGGUCCAUUCCAGUUUAGAAACUCCACAGCCACCUCAACAGCAGGAACAAAGGUGGGUCUCUGUCCUGCCUCUGGGGCCAGGCUGGCUGAUGGCUUCAGGCCCAACCAAAAGAUCCCUUCCACCCACCCGACUCUAGCAACACCCACAUCACCAACCCUGGGCCUCCCACCAGAGCCUCCACCUUCUAGGAAGUCACCCUCCCUCCUGCAAGAUGCUGGUGGCUGAGACUGGAGGGACCCUUUCAAUUUCAGGAUAAACAAACUGUCGUUCUGGCCCAGCCCUCUGCCGGCUUGCUGCUUCCCGCCCCCCUCCAUCCGCAGUGCACAGUCGCUCUGUUCUCCUGCCAACUUGGCAGCUCAUCGCUGCUGUUACUAUCAACACCUCCAAGGGAAAAGGGAGAGGAGUCAGCUCUGAUCGCCUGGCGCACUGUGCAGCAAAUUCAUGUCAGAGCCAGCCUUGGAAUGUCUCCCAAGCUCCCAAGGCUCCUGGAGCCUUUCUCCCAGAUGUGAAACUGAUCCUAAGACCCCCUGUAAUUUCCUGCUGAAAAUCUCCACCAAGAAACACAGCCACAGCCACAGUUCUUCCUGGUAAGAAGCCCCCAGGGCCAGGCAACAAGAAAAGUGAGCUCGUUCAGCAGGCUGGGAUGUAAAUAAGCCACAAGAGGCUGUGCCAUUCUGGGUUGCACCUGUGAGCAUCACUCAGCUGAAGCCCCAUCAGCGUUUCCAUGACAAACUCGUAUUUCCGGAUGCCUUUCUUCCAGCUUGAAGAGCCUGCCUCGUGUGGGGGAAAAAUGAUGUCAUCAGCUGAAAGUGAGAAGCAAGGAGAACUGCGUGCAGGCCUGAAAAGAAAGGAGGCGUGAUGCAGUCAUCUGCCAGAGGGAGUAGGAGAGGCGACUUGCCUGGGGAAAACAGUGUAGGAUUGCUGGGCAGCAAUAUGGCAGCAAUGUGGUCCUCUGAGGUCAGUGGUGAUGAAUUUAAAGGGAAACCUUUCAGUACAGCUCUGUGUUUUUCUCCAGCCACCUUUAACACCUGGAGUGCAGGCAUUAAAUAGCUAAAAGUCACAUUUGACAAGUGUUGAUUUUGCUAGGCCUAUAGGUUGGGAGAGAGAAGGUCAGAAUGGUUGUCAUUGUUAUCUAUUGCUGUGAAACACAUGACUCCAACACAAUUACUCCCAAACAACAAAUAUUUAUUACCUCAUAGUUUCUGUGGGUCACAGUUUGGAAUUUGGAAGCAGCUCAGGCUGGGCAGUUCUGGCUUGGGGUCUUUCACGAGGCUGCAGUCAAAUGUUACCUCAGGUUACAGUCAUCUAAAAGCUUGUAUAGGGCUGGAGGAUCUGCUUCCAGGGUGGUGCACUCACAUGGCUGGCAAGUCAGUAGUGGUGGUUGGUGGACAACUCAGUUCCUCUACAGGCUGUCAGAGUGUACUUACAGCCUGACAACCAGCUUCUCCCAGAGCUACCAGUCCAAGAGGGAGACCUAAUCAGAAGCUAUCCUUCUUUGACCUAUGCUCAGAAGUGACAUUGCGUUCCUU
rnacentral:lncRNA from 1 species